rnacentral:rRNA from 1 species
AGCUCCAAUAGCGUAUAUUAAAGUUGUUGCAGUUAAAAAGCUCGUAGUUGGAUUUCUGGUGGGAGCGGUCGGUGCGGUCCUCAGGAUUGCUACUCGUACCGUCUCUCGCCAUCCUUGGGUCGAUCCUGUCUGGCAUUAAGUUGUCGGGCAGGGGAUGCCCAUCGUUUACUGUGAAAAAAUUAGAGUGUUCAAAGCAGGCUUAUGCCGUUGAAUAUAUUAGCAUGGAAUAAUAAGAUAGGACUUUGGUACUAUUUUGUUGGUUUGCGCACCAAAGUAAUGAUUAAUAGGGACAGUUGGGGGUAUUCGUAUUCCGUUGUCAGAGGUGAAAUUCUUGGAUUUCCGGAAGACGAACUACUGCGAAAGCAUUUACCAAGGAUGUUUUCA